AGUGAACGCUGGCGGUAGGCCUAACACAUGCAAGUCGAACGGCAGCACAGUAAGAGCUUGCUCUUACGGGUGGCGAGUGGCGGACGGGUGAGGAAUACAUCGGAAUCUACUUUUUCGUGGGGGAUAACGUAGGGAAACUUACGCUAAUACCGCAUACGACCUACGGGUGAAAGCAGGGGAUCUUCGGACCUUGCGCGAUUGAAUGAGCCGAUGCCGGAUUAGCUAGUUGGCGGGGUAAAGGCCCACCAAGGCGACGAUCCGUAGCUGGACUGAGAGGAUGAUCAGCCACCCUAGAACUGAGACACGGUCCUGACUCCUACGGGAGGCGGCAGUCGGGAAUAUGUGACAAUGGGCGCAAGCCUGAUCCAGCCAUACCGCGUGGGUGAAGAAGGCCUUCGGGUUGUAAAGCCCUUUUGUUGGGAAAGAAAAGCAGCAGGUUAAUACCCCGCUGUUCUGACGGUACCCAAAGAAUAAGCACCGGCUAACUUCGUG
rnacentral:rRNA from 1 species